rnacentral:lncRNA from 1 species
AAGACAUAGGUACACAUCAUAGGAAAAAACCCCAAAAAAUCUCUGGUUUUUCCUGCAAAUUUCAUGAAAUGAAAAUAACACUUGACAAUCAUUAUACACACAUCCUCAUGAGCUACUUUAACGGAGUCUAUAUGGCUGAAGUUUUUGACUUCUUGAUUACAUGCCAAGGCUUCCAUAAUGUAGCGGAAUGUAUAAUCCACUGAUGGUAUUGGAAAGUUCUUGCCCAUAGUCUUUACAAGCUGGGAAUUUAAAUCAGAUAAAACAAUUAAGUUAAUUAUGGUUAAAAUACUUGUUUAAACUCUGCAGCUAGCCAAUCUUUAAAUCAUACCGAAAAUAGGCUAGUAAAUCUGCUGAAAUAAAAAGUACCUGCAGUUUUUCACAAUUCCAAAUUGAUAAUUCUUUCAUCCAUAGCUACAUUAGUGGGAAUAUAAUGCUGCAAAUUUUUUUCAAAUAGAUCACUACUACUACUAUGAUAACAUAUGUAGAAGAAACGAAAAGCAAGAGAGAAGUUGUAUGUUCGUAAAAUGUAACAAUAACUACAACAAAAUAAGAUGAUAAUCAAAGUAUAAGAGAAUCAAAUAACAAGAAACUACAUAGUAGUAUUAUGAUUACUGGUACCUGAUUAAUCUUUUAUCCUAAUCUGAAUCUUCC